GAUGAAGAACGUAGCGAAAUGCGAUAAGUAAUGCGAAUUGCAGAAUUUCCGUGAGUCAUCGAAUCUUUGAACGCACAUUGCGCCCCCCGGCAUUCCGGGGGGCAUGCCUGUCCGAGCGUCAUUGCACCCCUCGAGCCCGCGCGGGUUUCGGUGUUGGGCCGCCGUCCCCCGGGGGGGGGGACGGGCCCGAAAGGCAGUGGCGGCCCCGGGGCGACUUCCCGCGCGAUCGCAGCACCUCGCGGCCGAAGCGUUCGCGCCGCGGGCCCGCCUGGACCACCAGUGUGACGUACCGGUUGACCUCGGAUCAGGCAGGGAUACCCGCUGAACUUAAGCAUAUCAAUAAGCGGAGGA
rnacentral:misc_RNA from 1 species